CUGCCUACACAUGCAGUCGAGCGGACCGAGGGAGCUUGCUCCUUUAGGUUAGCGGCGGACGGGUGAGUAACACGUGGGCAACCUGCCCUGCAGACUGGGAUAACUUCGGGAAACCGGAGCUAAUACCGGAUAACACCGAAAACCGCAGGGUUUUCGGUUGAAAGGCGGCUUUUAGCUGUCACUGCAGGAUGGGCCCGCGGCGCAUUAGCUAGUUGGUGAGGUAACGGCUCACCAAGGCGACUAUGCGUACCCCACCUGAGAGGGUGAUCGGCCACACUGGGACUGAGACACGGCCCACACUCCUACGGGAGGCAGCAGUAGGGAAUCUUCCGCAAUGGACGAAAGUCUGACGGAGCAACGCCGCGUGAGCGAAAAAGGUCUUCGGAUCGUAAAGCUCUUUUGUCAGGGAAGAACAAGUGCCGUUCGAACAGGGCGGUACCUUGACGGUACCUGACGAGGAAGCCACGGCUAACUACGUGCCAGCGCCCCCCGGGUUAUU
rnacentral:rRNA from 1 species